CAUUUCGCAGUGAAUUUGCAAUGUUGCUACGUUGCGGUGGAAGAUUCCUGCAAUAUAUAUGCAAUCUUUUCGUGCUGCAUGGGGAAAAACACGUGUAUAGAUAGAACAAAUGGUUUUAUUUUAUCUGCUCCGAAUCACUUCCCGUUUCCCUAUCUGUUCCUUCUCGAUAUAAUUAAAUUUCUAAACUCGGAAGUUUGAAAUUGGAGUUCAAACAAGAUUACAAACGCAUAAAUGUGACAGGCACAUGAGAGCUUGCGAAAAUAUGAAAAUAAAGAAAUUAAGCAAAUUUGUCCUGUUAUGUAUCCCAAGCCAUCUAGAUAAAGAUAAAGCAAAUGUCAGUCUAUUUGCUUGUCCAUCUAUUUAGCCCUUCCCCGUCUCUUUCCCGCUGCAUCAUGCACCAACGGAACUGUGCCGACGCACCGUCGCUGGUCAACGUACGCGUGCCAAUCGCCAGCCAAGCAAGGGUGGAACCCCCUCGCGACCCCGUCCCUCCCCCGUCCUGUCGGCGGUGUCGCUGUUGCCCCACCACGCGCGCGCGUGUAACGUAAUCGCCGGUAAUAUACGCACCGGCGCGCCUCUUUUACGAGACGAGAGACGCGUGUGCGGUAUCCGCUCUCGCGUGCUAUUGGAUUCUGCGGUGCGGGCUCCGUGGUGUUUGUCGGCCCGCUCGGAAAAUUCGCGUGCGGUGUGUGCGUGCUGUUGCGGAAAAUUGUUCGACCAACCCCUCUCGCGACGCGCGUAUUGACGCGGCCGUGAGUCACCGUUCCGCGGAAAAGGCCGACAAAGUCGUCGCUUAUUUUCACGAAAUAUCGCUGUCCGCGAGCCGAGAACGAUCGCGAGCCCCGGGAGUACAUGCUCUCAUGUUCGGUUUUUAAAUAAGUAAAUAAAUCAUUAAGAACAGCUUAUUUCUUUCGCGCGAGCGAUCUUGGGCCUCAACCGACUGUCCUUUCCUUCUUUUCCCGGGGUUGAAUCAGAUAGUGACAAGGGGCGAGAGAAGAUCGGUCGUUAGCGACGUAAAUUUAAUCAAUUUCGCGCGUACCUCCGCUCGUCACGACGCCGUUUGCGAGGAUAAUGAUCGAGUUGCACAGUCAUCCCUCCCCGUUCACGUUCACGCUUUUGUGUUCCGAGAGAGAGAGACGAAUUCUGCCGUCUCGGAAACUUUUCCUGUGUCUCGCUUUUCAGGAUGGCAGGCGAUUGCCCUCGUAAUGAUAUAACCUUCCCAUGGAAACAGCACAAUUUUAUCUUGUUGAUAGAGAGAAAGAAGACGAGAGACGAAACAGAGAGAGGAAGAGAGUUGGAGAAAGCGCACGAGGGAAAAGCGAAUCGGGAGGAUGGGUAACGAGCAAGAUGGAGAAAGUGCCCGCACAAAACUGCGUUAUCUCCUCGGUCCCCGUCCUUUCCCGGUCCCUCGAGAGAUAUUUCGGUUGCGUCUGCUGACGUCAAAUACGGGAAAUCGUCCUAUAAAGCGAACGCACGCUGCACGUAAUCGGAGGACACUUAGAACCAGAAACGACACAGGAUGAAAGGCUCGAGUUACAUGUUAAUUGCUUUUGAUGGGGGACCAGAAUAAAAUGGAGUUAUCAACAAAUUAAAGUGUUACAGGAAUAUCGAGGAAUUCCGCUCGAUCGCUUCAAAAGUGUCGCUUAGCUCUUAAUUGGGUCGUUACGUCAUUCUCAGUGAUCCGAUCGAGGUGUGCAUAGUUCCGAAACUUGCUCGUUUCGUCGGAUUAAGUAGACCUUCACCGAAUUGCGAGUGUGCAAUCCAUGAACUACAGAAUGGGUUAAAGUCAUUUUUCCAACUGUGAAACUAAAAAAAAAGAAACUUAACUAAACUUCAAAGUAAACAGAUAAAAAUAUGCGAAAGCUAUGUAUUGAAAUAUUUCAAUAUUAAUUGUUAGACCGUAACUGAAAAAAAAACCAAAUCAUCCCACGUAUUAACAAAUAAGAGAAGAAUGUUUUCUGUUGUUUAGAGAUAAAUAUAGAGCGAUAAAUGUUUAGAAAUAAAUAAACAUAUCUGAAAUAUUUAGCGUGCAAACCAACGGGCAUGCGAGUAUAAAUAUAUGAUGUUAAACGUUCCCGUAAACAUUUAUAGAAACUGUCCGAUGAUAUGAGCGAUGAUAUAAAUGAUACCAAAAAAAUACUUGAAAAUAUUUAACAAAUAAAACAUGGACGUUUCGAUACGCGAACGUUUGUCGCGAAUUAGCCAAAUUAAUUCUGUCUGGCUCUUCGACGCGGGAUCCAAAGUUCCAUAAACCCACGUAAAAAUAUCGCCGAGUUUUUACACGCGAGUAUUAGCACGCGGGGAUGCAUUUCGCGGAACAGCAAAAGAUAAAGUAAUUCCAUUUAGCAGGCUCGCUCGCGAUUAAAAAUAGCGUCCCGCUGUCUUCGUGCGCGCGCGAUCUACUAACUCUCUCGACUGGCGCACCCAUUCGUGCGCCAUUUGUAUAGGGCGUACCAGAAAUCCCGUUCUUAAUUUUAAUGGUGCGACCGAGCGCGUACAGGAGAACGCGAUAUUAGGCUCCUGCUUAUACUCCGACUUUCGUAUCAUUAAGCGAGACGGACGAUAUUUCGGUAAUCCUUUAUAUGUUCAAAUAUUUUGAGACUUCUCGAAAUCUCUCGUGAAAAUUCUCAAACUAUUUUUUUACACGAAAUACUGUAAGUGAUUUAUAAUCUCUUUUGUAUAAACACCAUUCUGAAUGGACACAUACAAUUCCAUUAACAAUCGAUGCGCGAUACGGAAAGAGGUAACGAGUAGCGCGAUAAAAAUCGCGAUAACGUACAUAUCAUUUCGUUGCACAAGAUAAAUGAUGGCGAUAGCGUAAUCGCGUAAUACGAUUUUAAUUAAAUCAUGAAAGAAUCGUCUCCCUAUCACGCGUAUUGGGGAACAAGAAAAAUCUGAUGCUCGGUCUAAUCUGGUUUACAUCGCGAUAACAUCGGUUAUCGGGUGCCCAUGAAGAGGCCGAAAUUACUGACCGUAAUCCGAAUUAUUUUUUGAUGACCAAGAUACGUGCCUUUUAACGCUCUCUUCCAAAUCAACUUUCUCGUUCGUUUAUUAUAUUCAUAUCAAAAAUAAGAUUAUUGAUAUCUUGAUAGUCUGAUUUUCAUAUCUCUAAAUUUGCAUUGCUAUGAGUAUUUGUCUACUUUAAGUCUAUUUUGUAUCCAUUUUAUUCAUUUAGAAAUAUCCUAAAUUAGGAACAUCUGCUUACGUAAUAAUUGCGUCCCUCCCCCUUUCAUGUAAUUACAAUUUCAUUUGGUUUGAGGAAAUAUUUUUUACUUAUAUCAUUUAUAUAACAAUUCUAAAACAGAAAACGUGAGUAAUCAAGUUUGCUUCGAUUCAAAAGUCUGAUUUAGACAUACGUGUUGAAUUAUGUACUAGAUUGCUGCAAAAAGUUUUAUAUAAAGGUUUUAUAUUGUAUUAUACUUUUCAAAGUUAAAAAAAAAAGAUUACAACAAAAUCGUUAUUAUUAUAAUAGUUUCAAUCAGUUUCAUAUUGUUUUCUUAUUUAAAACUCUUCCAAUUUCAUCAAAUAAUCCGAAAUUUUUUAUUUUAACACAAAACUUUUUUUAAAAAACUUUCGCGGAUAGAUUUAUCAACUUUUAUACUGUAUAAUGCAUUCCAGUUUGCAAAUACAUACAUGUAUAUGGACUGGAAUAUGCAAGUAUAAGAGUUAUAACAAAUCUAUCCGCAAAAGUGUUUUUAAAUAAGUUUUGUGUUAAAAUAAAAAAUUUCGGAUAUAUCAAAAUCGAAGCACCUAUAUAUUAUAUUUCGUAGAAUCGCACGCUUCACAAUCCCCACUCUUCCAAUCACCACUCGUUGUGACUCUUACAUCACAAGUACUCCGUCCAUGAAUCGUCAUCGACAGCGUUCAUUUCCCGUGACUAAUUGCGGCUGUAAACGCAAAGAGCACGGCCGCAUGCUUUAUGAUUACGUUAACAAACAUCGAUGCGAUUUACGAAACCGCGUUGCGAAUCGUUGAUUCGCAUUUUACACCAUCUUCAUCCAGCCAGAUCCGCGCGUGAUGAUCCCGCGAAUGUUGAUCACACAAAGGACAUUCGAAACUGUGUUUAUGUGUCAUGGAAAAGGGCGAGACUCGCUGGUAGUGUGUGAUUAAUAUUAAUUAAUUAAGCGCUACCGUCGCCGCGCCGCCGCCGCCGCCGCCGCGUGACAAAUCGUCGAGAAAAAUUCCCGGAACGAGGUGUGUUCAAAUCCUCAAUGGCUUCAAGCUACAAGCAAUUAAUAAUUUAUUUGUCGAAACUGAUGUCUAUGCCAGAUUACACGUGACACCGAAUUCCGAGAUCCAGUGUAAAUCGUUUACGUCGUCAUACUGAUAGAUAAUUGACUCUGCAAUUAAACUCCGACGUAAGCACUGACGUAUGUCCGCACGUGCUCCUGCUACUCGAGAUCACUCGCGCUACAGCGAUCUAUUUCCAUCAUGUGAAUAGGAUCACUCUUCGCUAUCGUGUACAUUUAAUCGUGCGUAGAUUCAAUUUGCAUUGUAUUAUUAUGUUGUGACCUUAAUCGCGUUAUCUGAAAUAAUGUAACGUCGAGUAAGAGUGCAUAUUGCACCCUUCGCCCGGUGUACAGUGAUAGCGUCAUUUAUCACGUCAAGUGGGUAUAAUCGCGCUUCGUUAUUAAAUUAUUGCUCGAAUUUUAUUUAUUAACAACUAUUGGUAUCAUUAAGAGAUAUUUUAUUAGUAGGGAACGAUAUAGCGGUACGUCGGGGAGAACAUAAGACGUAAGAAAAAAAAGUUCAUUCGUAAAAAGAGUUAUAGUCGCCAAGGUAGAACGCCAGUCAUCGAUCUACACUACUGAUCUAUGCGCGUUGACUUACACUACUGCAACGCUAAAAUUAGGUCAGGACACAUUUCCAAUUUGCAUGAAGAUGCGAGAUAGAGUAUCACGGGAAAAAUGUCAUUAAUAAUAGUAUAAUGUGAUGUAGAGAAGGAAUCUAAUGGGCUGAAUUGCUGUAAUACAUCCCAUGAGAUAUGUAAAAGAGAUUGCGCGAAUGCUACUAAUAUCGACAAACAACGAUAGCAAAUAAUUCUUAACUGUUACGUUCUACUUUGCUGUGCUUAAUUUUUAACACUCGGGAGAAGAUAACUCGCAUGCGAAUAUCUCACGAAUAUCAGCAUUCUACACCUCUCUUUAUGCUUUAUGCUCAUUUAUAAAAUAUACGUCUCUCGCACUUCACUUUGCCACCUGACCUUUGGCUCUUGCAGUUACAAGUUACUAUGACUACAAUUUGCAGAACACCAUACCUUUCCCGUGACUUUCCCGUUUUAUAUCACCCGCGAGACUCGUCAGGUCCAGAAUGGAAUAAUUGUUUCCCGUCGACAGCCGGAAACGUUCGAAUUAUCCGAUUUCGUCGACAGCCAGUCGAAAACGGGUACUCGCACGAGGACUGUUAACCGACGUUAAAACGAUUACGCGCGAUCGGUCGACGUCUACGUGCGACGACUGCGUUUGACACACAGGUGUAGAUCCGUAAAAGAGCCGGUAGAUUCACGGGGCCACGGCCAGACUACGGUCAAGUUCUAUCCGAUGACUGCGGGAUCCGGUUUACGGUGACGGCGUUUACGGUUGCACACGCGGGCUUGGCUCAAGAAGAUAAAGUGAGUUCAGCGCAUAGAAACGACCUUCUUUCAAAACGCGAGCGUAAACGCGCGAGCUGCCGCGCUGCUCGAGUCAGCAGAUAAAAGACCUGACAGAUAUCAAGAUAUCAGAGACCGCGCUAUCACAUCGCGCCGUGCUCUGAUAACGCGCUAAAAUAAUUGUCAUGUAAACUCACCGGCUGUCGCCGUAAGACGCGGUCUGACGUCAAUCGCCGAGCAUCGACAAACUGGCGUCUGUACGCGUUGCGCGGUAUUAACGGUACCCGUCGUACGAGUGAUUGAAAGCGCCUGUAAUUUCGGUAAAACUCAGAUCCCGAUGGCCGUGCACGCGCGAAAGUGAUUCCCCGGUGUUUUCCCGUGAUAACGGAAACGUGACUCUCGCUUACCGUAUUAUCUGCCCACCGUUCGCCGAGUACCGUAAUCGAGCUCGUCGGGAUCACGCUGUCUCUAAUCCGCGUGACGGCUACACUUUUCCCGAUAUCGAUUCAUUAGACAUUGAUGUUUGGAACAAUUUAUGUGUACGUGUUAAAAUUAAUCAUCUAAUGUUUUAUUUAUAAGUAUCGAGAAUUCUAUUGUAAAGCCUGAUAAGUUUUUUUCUGAAAAGCGUGUAGAUUUCAUGUUAAUGUUAUUUAAGAAAAAUGUAACGCUUUGUUAUUACGUAUCUCAUAUCUGUUUUUUUUUCUCUUUCUCUCUCCCUUUUAUUCAUUCAAUUAUAUUCGCUCUAAAAAUUGACAUAUCGAUAUGCUAGUUUGAAACCUUUUUUACAAAAUGCUGCGCGCUUCAAUGUUCAAAAAUACUCUUUUUUUAUAUACAUUAAAUUUCCACGUUGAACAGAGAUUUCACAGUCAGCGUUUCCACAUUUAUAAAUUUACAGCAUUUUGUAUAUCAAUAUUCAUGGAUAUCUCUCCCAGGGAUUGACAUUACUCUUGAAGUCUCGACGUCGAUAUCUCCACUUGUUCGCAAUUGCAACCCACCAGGAAAAAAAAUCGACGCGAGAGGGAAAGAGAGAGAGGGAAAUCCUGCUUCGAAAAUGAAUCAGCGUUAUCUGCUUCGGGAAAUGCAAACGAGCCGCUUAUCGUGGCUCGCGUGCGGCAAUCGUAUACACGCGAACGGAUUCUUUCUGCGAUGCGAACGCGGAGAUGCUGAGGACUACUUUGUAAUAACAGUCGUCGGAGAAAUUGCCGUGUACUGCACAAAUGCGUGUAUCCGCUGGAUUCAUAAUGGCAGACUUUACCGGAAUGAGGAAUCAAAGAGAGGCACAACGCGGCGUUUUUUUGUCCUCUUUUUACUCUCCGGUAAUUUGAGAAAAAUCUCAAACGCAUAAUUUGCUGGAAAAAAAGCGAUACUGCUGUCGACACAAAAGACAAAAUCAGAUGAUGCUUUCGCGAUUAUUCGUUAUCUUAUCGCGAAUUAUGCAACGAGGAGCCAAUUUAUUCGCGAGUGCGUGUAGCAAUCUUAUGAUAGCCCUGUUCGGUCUCAAAACAACUCGAAACAAUUUUUCAGGACAACACCUUAAUCAGCGGCACCUUGCUUAUAAUAUAGAUUUCUUUAUAUUUCAUUUCGAUGAACUUUCCUUCCUCCUGGCUAUUUCCUUCUGUUCUAUUAUUUUUGAGAGACGAUACAUAGACUGUCCACGUGUAGUAAUAACACGGCUGACGUGCACCAUUCAUCACGGAAAAAUAAUUGCGAGGUACAUUAUUGCCACCGUGCAGUAGCAUCGCGUGUCAGCGAGCGGCAAUGAAAUUAUGCAACAAGACGAGGCGGGGAGGUGCCGAUCGUUGUCGUACUUGAGAUGCAACGCGUCGAACUUUGGCGCGCGCGAAAUUCUCCUGAAAAUUUUCGCGAGUAUUUGAUUAACAUUCGCAACCCGUCCGAGAAACGCGUCUCGGCUUUCAACGAGAAAGGACGGGCUGCUCGUGCCGAUGUCGUAAGUAGCACGAGAUUACAAAAGAUCAUACAGCCGAGAGAAUAUCGAUCGAUAGAGCGUGUAUAUAUACAUUAUAAAUGCAUGCCGAUAGUCGAGGAAAAGACGCGUUGGCGAAUAAGUUCAAGAUUUCCUCGGACACUAGCGUGGCUUUCUCUGGCACCGGUGGAAUUUUCCACAGCUACAACCAUUGUUUAGUAACAUAAAUAUUAUAAAUAACCAUUAAAGAAAUAAUAGAUACAGCGAUAAAUAAUUGUACGCGUGCUUCUGAUUGUUGCAUGUUUGUUACUUUAUUUCUCAUGAAUCCAACACAAAUUUAUUUAAUUAAUUUUAUAAUUAAAUAAUUUCUCAUGUUUUUCUAUUCCUCCCUGCUCAGGCAUGGUAUUUUCAAGAACUUUGGUAUCAACACAAAACAGAAUUUAUCCAACAUUUUUGAAGACUCGAAAGUCACACAGCCGACUAUGUUAAAUAACCACAAAGAUUUAGCGACAGAGGCCGGCUUUUUAGAAAACAGUGGCGCGCGGUGUUAACGAUGUAAGUAUGUAACCGAUAUCGGAUCGAUUGACCCGAAUCCCGACGGUGGAAAGAGGAUAAAUAAUAGUCGCGACCUGAUUCUACGAUAAUUCCUAUCGAGAGCGACACGACGACGGCAGCGUUCGCGGCCCUUGUUUCUCAUCGACGGAACACCUUAUUGCGCGAGGCGACCAUAUCGAUUAAUCCUUUAAAAGGUCAUGUCAAUAUAACGGCAGAAAAUGCAAUAUGCAUUGACACGAUGCGGCUCGAAGCUUGACAAAGAACGCAAGGAAUAUACAUCUCGAUCUCAUUAUAUUCCGCAGCGGCAAUUGUUCACGAAUAAAAAUCUAUUUCAACGUCAGCUGAUACGUAGAAUUGUGUACGUAACGAGCGCGUAAAGGAAUUUUGAUUUUAAUGUACACCUGUCAUUUAAAUCGGUGCACUGAUUGGUGUGAAUCGAGAUAUCGAGCACGGUACUUUUAAAAAUAACGAGUGAUUGUAAAUUUAGAUAUAAAAAUCUGUGCUCGACUCAAUAAAAUGUAAUUUAAAAAGAAAUCUGAUUUUAAAAUCAAAUCUAAUUUAAUCUGAGCAUUAAUUCUCACGAAUUAAUGAGCAUCAACCGUGAUUUAAUUUGAAGAAUGAAUAUCCUAACAAAAUCUGAAUAUAAAUAAAAGCAAAAAAUAAUUUUAUUUCAGAAAAAAAAAGAAAAGUUAUAAAGUUAUAAAUAAAAGUAUCGUUAAGAGAGGAGAAAAGUUAUUUAUUACGAGAAGAAAUGUUUGUUACGUGAAACACUAUACAUUGUAAAAGUAAUAUGGAAUAUAGUAUUAAAAUAAUAUCCGCUUUAUCUAGAUUUGAUGUAUCGUAUUUUACGGAAUGCAAAUGCUGGGUAAAUUAUAAUUAAACAAUUUUUUCACAAGAUUUAAUGAUACCAACCUUAGCAGAUCUUAGUUUUUAACAUUAUGAAAUCACAAUGUUUCAUACAUUCUUAUACAUAUGCAAAAACUUAAUCUACAUAUUAUAUUACUUUGUAAAAUAAUCGAAAAUAAAGAAGGAAUGCUUUCCAAUGUAACAAUACACGUCAUGUUCCAUCUAAUUUCAAUGAUACACAGCCCGUCCAAGCUCAUCGUGAAAAUUUCAGGCUGGGUAUAGUCAAAUAAUAAAAAUCAUUUAAAGUCGCAACUAAAUCCAUACGUAACAUUACGUGACAAAGAAAAAUAUUUGCACGAAAGGAAAAGUCACUCAUGUCGUGACUCGUGCUCUAAUAGCGGUGUAUUUUAAAUCUCAUGCCAUCAAAAACAGCGUUCUACACGCAGCCAAGGCACGCAAUAAUAAAAUAACAUUUGUGUACAUAGAAAACAAUGCAAUUUAGCCUUGAGCCUCUACCUCCUCCCUCUGCAGCUUCUCGUCCACCAACGAGGGGGCUUCUCAUCUCUCGCAUAUGAGGACCAUACAUCACCGACAAUGUCAAAAGCAUAUCUUCGCGCUAUAUGCCUCCCAGUUGACGCAGCUAAAUUUACCGAAACAUUUCCAGAUCGCAGAUGCGAAGUAAUGUAAAUGUCAGAAAAAUAACUUUGAGUGAAACGAAGGGAAAAGAAAAAAACCUUUGCGCACAACGAAGGAAACGUUAUCGGACCAAGAGAGAAGAACAAAGCAAGGAAUUCCAACUAAGGCUAAAAAUAUUCCAAGACACAACGAAGAAAUACAUUCCGGACUUUACAUUGGCGAAAGCGGAAGCUAUUUAUCAAUUUAGACCGCCUUCUUGUAAAGUAAUAUACAGUAUCUUUUUGAAAGUAAAUUUUUUAAUGUUUCCUUGUUAUCCGGAAUAUUAUCUCCCUCAUUCUUCAAGUGAGUGUAUUCCAUUUCCGUUCUUUAUUCGUAGAAAGACGUUUAAUGUACCGCUGGAAGCAACCAGUCCACUUACAUGUUGCAAAGGAAACGUGAAAUGUACAAAAUACAGGAAAUGUGCUCGGCUUAGAUAUCGUUUGUACAUCCAAUUAACAUUCUCUUAUUAUCGAUAAAUGAGACGAAUAAAAAUGUAAUGCCUGUACGAUUAACGGAUUUUUAUCGCGUUUCCGUAAUCUUUUCUACACAACGCGCUCUUUGCGCGAAUGCUUUUUAAUCGGCGUAUACAUGCUGCACGUGCAAUGUGUUAACAGUUAACGCGAGAUCCUGUCGGCGCCAUCGGCUCUUCCCUAUUUUUACACGCAUCCAGCCACGACGUGUAAAAAGUGAAGGAUAUAAAUAACAUCACCUAUUUACACGUUAAAUUGAAUUACAUGCGCAUGUGUAUCGGUACAAUAAUGCGAAAAAAGCCCAGCCGAGAAUAACUCGCGAACGAGGUGAAUUAUCAGCUUUGAAAAGUUUUAAUAUCAAGGGGAAAAAAAUACGUAUAUAUAGAUUACAUAUGCAUCAACCGCGCCACUUUGCAAGGAGGCCGAGAGAGUGGCGAGGAGUUUGCGACGGCGUGUGCGUACGGAAGAGAGGAGGAAAAAGCAGACCGAAGAAAGAGCGAGAGUAGGAGGGAAACAGGAAAAAUUCCAGUUAUGAUAUAGCACCGCGAUAUUUAAGCAGGCUCGCGGCGACGCGCACGCAUUGCGUGAAAUUAAUUUCUAUUUUCGGAGGCGGCCGGGAACGUGCGUAAAGAAUUUAGAGCACAGGGUAUACGUAAUUCCGAGGUAAAACCAAGGCGCGCGGGAGCGAGGAUCCCGAAUCGGAUAAGCGGAGACGAAGUUUAGCGGGAUCGAGAAGAACGAUGUAAUCGAGAAAUGUCCCCAUAAAAGCAAAUUGAAAAUUUAUGUAUACAUUGAUAUCACUUGUGGCAUCAUUUUAUGUUUAUCAUUAUACAGAAAAAUCUCCACGUAACGUUCAGCUGUCGCGGUUGCAAGAGAAAUUGAAUUUAAUUCCAUUUUGCUAAUAUUUUAAUCGAUCGAUUUAAUUCCAUUUUGUUGUAUUAAUUUUUCGAUCUAAUGUGAAGAUUUAAAUAAGUAUAUAAAAUUCGAUUGUUUUUCAAAAUCGUGUAUUUAUAUAGGAAUUAUAUAAUGUGUCUAAAAUAUUUUUCCAAGAUUUCAUUCAACACGUUUGCCUCGAGCAACUUUUGUAAGAGAAGUUAUUCUUGCAAAUUUGGCAGUACGAUCGAUCGCGACGACAAUGACCGAUCGCACGACAGCCCAUGCAAUCUCUAUCGUUGAGAAUGGAUCGACUGGAUGCGUUAACUGACACGAGCUAAUUGAUUCGGGUUAAGUACAUUGUAUUUUAUCCACGUGUGCGAUAUAUCAGAUUACGGAGGCAAAGUGUAAACACAAUCAAGCGGCGAGCGAAAAGGUCGACGCAAACUAAAUUGAGCGAUCGGCUCGGAAUUCAUCGUUUAUCGAUUGCACUUUAUCGCUCGAUCCUCCCUUUCCUGCCCUUUCAACAGUGUAUCCCGCUGCAAUAACAAAAUCCUUGAUAAAUUUAAAAAUUCUCCGCGAGAACGUUGACGGGCGUUUAUCGAUCAUUCAAUUCCUAGCUGAUUAGGUAUCGUUCAAACUUGACCGUGAAAUUAAAAUAUUUUUAAAAAGUAUCUAAAAUUCAACAAAAUAUGGACAAUCCAUGUCAAGGGAUUUUUAUUUUCGAUUGCUCAUGAUUCAAUAGUUAUUAACAUCUGAAUAUUUCGACGUCAAAAUUUCUUUUAUUAUUUUAUGUGGGAGAUUCGAGAUUAAACAAAAUGAGCCGCUGCAGGCGCGAUACAUUCUCGUACAUGAGAACUUUCUAUCGCACUGGAGAUAUAAUAAUUUCGUGGCGAGUCGGCAUCGGCAAUUUAUAGACGCGGAUGUAAUUUUUGCUAAAGCAGGAUACGGAGCGCGGAAGGAGACACGGACCUGGCUUCAUCUUCGGCCUGGCAUGAUCGAUUCACUGGUUGGUCAAUUAUUCAGUGUUUCGGUCGAAAUUGAAGUUCCACAUACAUACACACUACACACACACACACAUCGGCCUUCGCGGGUAUUAACUUCGAUUAAGGUCUCAUCCGAAGCAGGCGCCGCGAACGGCAAAAUAGAUGAUAUUAUUAGUAACGGGAUUAAAAUAGCGGGGCCGAUUAGAACGUGUUCCCUUGAUCCGGGCAAAUUUCGCCGAUGUCGUAAAUCUCGGGGAGAAUAAGGAAGCUGCGCCGAAUUUUAACCCCCCCUCAACUCGAUCGUUGCGUUUUCGGCGGCGCUAUAAAUGGCAUGAAAUUUAUGCGAGUUUACGUUUACAAUUAUUAUACAUAUCCAUGGCAUUUAACAUUGAAAGCUGAAUUAGCCGUAAUUGGUGCAACGCGCAUGAUAAAUAAUGAAAUUUCAUUACGUCCACACGCGCACACAACGUCGCAAAAAAUAUUUAUAAAACUACACUCACACACAAAAUGUUCCGAGCGAAAAAGUCAAUAUUUGCAGGGUGGCGAAAGGGCAACGCGCCGUCGAUUCGUCAUCGUUUUCAAUUGUGACGCGUAAUCGCGAAAAUAAUCGUGUAAGCGGCACAACGGUGACGUAUACGACUACAUUCGUUGGACAAUGAAAGGAGGAACUUGCAUGCACACACGCGUGUGUCGAAUACUUUUAACGCAGUUGCUAACGCGUCGCAACUGCGCUAACAACCGCAGCUCAUUAGCAAGUUUGUCAUCCGUGACUGAACGUGUUAACCACGUCCAUUAACCCCACAGAAAGCGGAAACGUGCGCCGCGCUACGAAAACCCGAAGGAAUUCCACCUUCGGAUAUCGAUUCAAACCCCGGAGAAAACCUACAGGAUGUUCCAACGUUGCCGGACGCGCCUCGAAUUUUCCAGCCAACGCGAAAAUGAAAUCUAAAGGAUAUCCGACGAUUCCGGGACACCCUGUGUGUGUCUCUCCACUUUUUCGUCGGAAGACGAGCGAAUACAGGCCCCGUUGCGAGCAGAGGUUGGAUGCCGAACAGAAGAGUUAAAUGAACCGUUACUAGUGAAUCUGCUUGUUUUAACGUUGCUCUCGAUCACGAUAUUUCGAUCCGGAGGGAAGACGCGAGAGGAGAUAGUCAUCGAGUUAUGCCGUAAAUUCAGAGUACCGGCCGGCCGUACGGAAAUUGCGGGGUAGUAUCCACAGUAUUUUUAACCAUCGUCGUCUGGUGUUCGUCGCCGACCAACGAGAUGAAAAAUUUGACUAGGUGGCAGGUACGUAACUUUUAAUACUCAGAGGGUGGCCUGGAAGGGGGAAGAGGACGAGGGGGUCCGGUACGUGUGCAUAUCUCGUUGGGGGAUUAAAAAUAACUAAGCACGUGUAAUGUGCUCUUCCACUGUUUGGCGACUGGAAAUACAUAUAUAUAGUCACACCGCACUGAUAACACUGUCUCUCUCUCUCUCUCUUUCUCUCUUCCCAUUUUUUCCCCUAAACUUUUUGAAGCUUGAUUUGAACGUUCUAUUCAGCCGCAAACAAAUAUCGAUCCCGAUAUCAACGACCUAUAUUGCAGAAACUGUGUCGGACCUUCCGGGCUCAUGUCAGCGAAUGUCUUUUCAACGACAGAAAGAGAUGAGUCUAAGAGAGAUGAUGAUUUCUCUCAUUUCCAAUUAGCGAAUAUCGAGAAUCAUUUUGACGAAAUGUGGAAAUAGAUAUUUAUGGUGAUGAAUGACAGAGAUUCUCGUGCGGUUGCAAAUAGAUAAGAGAAUCGUUUAGGAUUUACCUAGACAAGUAAUGAUCAUCAUUGGCGAAUGAUACAUGAAUGCAUUAUUCAAUUUAUUUAUAACCAUCAGAUGUUAUAGCGGACUGUAUUUUUAACUGGUUCACAGCCCGAUGACGGAAAGAGAUUGCCCAAGUGUGUUAUUUAUAAUCUACGACCACAGAACAAUAGCCUAACAUAAAACUUUCUAUCGAAACGAACGAAUAUCGCUGAGGAUGAUGUCUAAGUAUAUAAAUGUACAAAAGUACUGGAUUGUAACAAAAAUCCGUUUUUUAAUUUUUUUAAUGACAAAAAAUGACAAGGUUUUUUUUGAAAAGAUGGAAUCAUGAAGCUACCAGAAAGAUGUUAGUAGAACAAGACGACGAAUGUAGUUGAAUAAAUAUUUAUGUAUAUUAUAGAUAUCU